CCUGUCUCGUGCACAUUGCUUGCCAGGAUUGGCUCCAACUCCCCUGUGACUCCCCUAGGAUAAAGAGAAUGUAACCCUUCACUGCCCAAAGAAGAUCGAUAGGAGGCACAUGUGAGUGGUAGAAGAAGAAGCUGAAGAGUGGGGUGGAAAGCAAGAGAUUGCACCAACGUCUGAGGAAUGUGCAGGACUGGC